UGGAAAUGGAGGAAUCGGCCUCGCUCGGGCUGCAGGAAGGAAGAAGCAGGAGGUUGGAUCCCAGGAUGGAGUUUGCCCUUGCCUCUUUUCUCCACUCUCAGUCCCCAAACCUAGGAGAAUGUCACCCACCUCCUGCAUCUUUGUCUAGCCUCCAAAGACAUUUCUUGCUAGAGGAAUUGAGCUCCUUGAGAGUUCAGAAUUGGGAAGCCCCGCUCCCCCACAGGAGGCCUGCCCAGGGUUCUCAGAAGGAAAUGAGCUCAUGUGGGAAUGGCACGGGUGUCAGGGAAACCACAGAAAAAAAUCUGAACAGGUCUACUUCAUACCUGCAUGUGCUCUACCACUGAAUUCUGGUGAUCCUGAGUUCUAUAAGAAAGCAGGCGGAGCAAGCCAAUAGCCGCAUUUCUCCACGGCCUCUGCAUCCGCUCCUGCCUCCAGGUUCCUGCCCUGCUUGAGUUCCUGUCCUGACCUCCUUCCCUGAUGAAGAGUGGCAUGGAUGUGGAAGCCAAGAAAACCCUUUGCUUGCUAAGCUGCUUUGCUCGUGGUCACAGCAAUAGAAGCCCUGAGACAGUGUGCAAGGGUUUUGCCUGCAUACACGUAUGUGCCUUUGUGUGCCUGAUGGUCAUGGAAGCCAGAUAAGGGCAUUGGAUCCCUUGGAACUAGAGUAACGGACAGUAGUGAGUUUCCAACCAGGUGCUGGGAACUAAUCCUAGCUUCUCUGCAAGAGCAGCCAGUGCUCUCAACCUCUGAUCCAUCUCUCCACCCCAUUUCUGUUUUCACCUACACUUACAGAGACGAUGACAUGGUUUCAUAUUCACCACCAUGGAGGGACAAGAAACCCCAAAGUGGCUGGGGAUACAACUCAGUUGGUACAAUGCCUCUAGCAUCCGCAAAACCCUGGAUUUGAUCAUCAAUAGUGCAUAAAUCACGCCAGGUGGUAUAUGUCUGUAAUCCCUGCCUGUGGAGGGAGAAGAGUUCAGAAAAUCAGAUCUGCAAGGCCA